rnacentral:rRNA from 1 species
GAGUUUGAUCGUGGCUCAGAGUGAACGCUGGCGGUAGGCCUAACACAUGCAAGUCGAACGGUAACAGGUCUUUUUGGAUGCUGACGAGUGGCGAACGGGUGAGUAAGACAUCGGAACGUACCCGACUGUGGGGGAUAACGAGGCGAAAGCUUUGCUAAUACCGCAUAAGUUCUGCGGAAGAAAGCUGGGGACCCAUUUGGGCCUGGCGCAGACGGAGCGGCCGAUGGCAGAUUAGGUAGUUGGUGGGAUAAAAGCUUACCAAGCCAACGAUCUGUAGCCGGUCUGAGAGGAUGAUCAGCCACACUGGGACUGAGACACGGCCCAGACUCCUACGGGAGGCAGCAGUGGGGAAUUUUGGACAAUGGGGGCAACCCUGAUCCAGCCAUGCCGCGUGCAGGACGAAGGCCUUCGGGUUGUAAACUGCUUUUGUACGGAACGAAAGGGACUGCUUUAAUAGGGUAGUUUUAUGACGGUACCGUAAGAAUAAGCACCGGCUAACUACGUGCCAGCAGCCGCGGUAAUACGUAGGGUGCGAGCGUUAAUCGGAAUUACUGGGCGUAAAGCGUGCGCAGGCGGUAUUGUAAGACAGAGGUGAAAUCCCUGGGCUCAACCUGGGAACUGCCUUUGUGACUGCAAUGCUGGAGUGCGGCAGAGGGGGAUGGAAUUCCGCGCGUAGCAGUGAAAUGCGUAGAUAUGCGGAGGAACACCGAUGGCGA